rnacentral:lncRNA from 1 species
GUUGUUCAAUUUCCGAAUGCUGAGUUCCUUGAACACCAUUGCGCGGACCCACAUGGUUGUCUUGAUCUUAUAGAGGUUCUUGAUCUUCUUGAGAUGUUUCCUAAGCUGAAGAUUUUAGAUUUUUGUCAACACCAGGUUAAUUUAUCUUUUGCUUUUCUUAGUCAUUUAAUUCAAUUUCCAGGGUGGGGAUUUUGGAUCAACAUCUUCUAGAGUACUAAAUUUAUUUCUUUCAUAGAUUUUGCAGGAUUUUUCUCCCAUCGUUGAGACGACAUUCCCCAAUCCCUCACUGUUCCAUCUAAAUACAGUUCAGAUUGUCUGGCCUGAAGAAGACCCCUUUAUAAUUCAAUUUAUUGAAUUUAUCUUGCAAAAUGCUCCCUCGCUUGGCAAACUUGUGUUUCGUCUUUCAUCGUUUGCAACUUCUGAUAACCACGACCGUUUCCUAAUGAUAGAAGAGAAGGUGCGAAGCAUGCCGAGAUCCUCCCCAACUGCGGAGGUUAUUAUAAUCGAUAAGCAAGAUUAUUAGAAAGGGAGUCGACAUUUAUUUUUCCCUUAUUCGACUAUUAUAUCAAUCUAUCCCUAUUUUGCUUAUUCGCAACAUUUGUUUAGAUGUGUAUGUUAUGUCUUUAAGCAGCAUUCCUGCUAACGUUCUGAGCAUAAUUAGCUAU